rnacentral:piRNA from 1 species
UAGCAUGGAUGAGCAAGAAGCUCACAAGG